CAUUAAAAAAAUGCAUUCAACCUAGCGAUGAAGUGAUUUUGCAACUUUCGAAUUAAACCGGUUAAGACUUUAAAACGCGUUUUUUUUUAAAAAAAAAAAAAACUAAAAGUUUUGUAUUGGUAAAUUAAAUUUGGACAGGUUGCUAGUAAUAAAUAUUUACUGCACGAUAAUAUAGACAAGCAAGAAAAGCUGUGUUCAUUUAAGAUGCAUUAAUACAGGAUUCGUGGUUAGAAGAUGCUAAAUCGAUAGUUAAAAGCAUUCAGUUCAAGUUUUCCUUUUAAAGAUUUUAGAAACAGAAAUGUCUUGGUUGGGCAAGAAAAUUACCUGAACAAAAAAGCAAACCUGCGAAACCAUAAACUUGUGAGAGGCUCAAAAAGUAAUGCGAUACGCAGCUAUAUUUAUCAAAGCCUAUUCGAACUAAUUGCUUUAAUCCUACUUAAUUCUAUAA